rnacentral:misc_RNA from 1 species
UGGGCUUGACAUCUUGGGGAAGACCAUGGUUUCUCACGGUCUUCCCCAAGAUGUCAAGCCCAGGUAAGGUUCUUCGCGUUGCGUCGAAUUAAACCACAUGCUCCACCGCUUGUGCGGGCCCCCGUCAAUUCCUUUGAGUUUCAGCCUUGCGGCCGUACUCCCCAGGCGGGGCACUUAAUGCGUUAGCGCCGGCACCCAGGGGGUCGCUCCCCCAGGCACCUAGUGCCCAUCGUUUACGGCGUGGACUAC